rnacentral:tRNA from 1 species
CCCUGGUUUGCUCAGUUGAUAGAGCACUCCACCUGUAAUGGAGAGGUCCCGGGCUCGACACCCGGACCUGGCG